UACGGGGGAGCAAGCGUUGUUCGGAUUUACUGGGCGUAAAGGGCGCGUAGGCGGUCGUGACAAGUCACUUGUGAAAUCUCCGGGCUUAACUCGGAACGGUCAAGUGAUACUGUCGGACUAGAGUACAGAAGGGGCAACUGGAAUUCUCGGUGUAGCGGUGAAAUGCGUAGAUAUCGGGAGGACACCAGUGGCGAAGGCGACUACCUGGCCUGUUCUUGACGCUGAGGCGGCG
rnacentral:rRNA from 1 species